CAUUGUUUAGUAUUUAUUAUCCAAUUAUUCCAAUUUUCAUACCCACCUUUUUUUUCACACCGGUGAUUUAUAGUAUUAAACGUUUCCAGGGUCUAGCCAGUCAUAUUAAUUUCCUUUGCACACAUCAUAGGGGAUGGAUUCUCAUACUGUAUAUCAAUCACUACUUCUCUGUGUGUUCUCUAUCUUGCAGAAAAUUGAAAUUACUGUAUCUAUCACUUUCCCCAUGCCAAAUGUCAUUAUUUUAGUUCACAUACCCAUAAUGUCUCUUCUUUGACUCAUAAAAGCCAUGGUAAUGUAACUUUCAGUUUCUUCUCAUUUCAGUUAAAACUUGCUUUCACCAUCAGGGUUUUCUACUGGUUCUUUCUCCUGAAGUCACAUUUCCAAGUCACAUUUACACAGCUCAAGCUUCCAGUUAUUCUUCUUCCUAGAGUGGACUCAUUUCCAUUUGUCUCUGCAGUGAGUACUUCCAGAACUAUAUAAAAUAUAGGGGUAGAGGCAGCAGCAUCAAGAGCCCUGUGGACAUUCUUUGUUCCAGGAAUCCAUUCCUGACUUUUUCUUGCAGGGGUCCU
rnacentral:lncRNA from 1 species